rnacentral:lncRNA from 1 species
CCUGUAGUGGUGUCAAUCAACUAAGAUCAAUGUCUCAGAAUGCGUCGACAACUAUCUCCCGCGAUUCAGUGCAAAUAGAACUAGAACGGUCUCUACCGUAAUUAGCGCGUCGUCGACCUGUCGGAAAGUCAAUUUAGACUUUUAGGCAAGUUUAACUUUUAUUUAUAAAGUAAUAAACGAGACUAAACUAGAGUCAUUCUUCAUAUUUUACAAGUUAGCAUUUCGAUGCCACCUAAAGUAUCAACUUAAGGUUAAUUUCAGCAUUAAGCUGAAUUCUUGCUUCUAGUUGAAUUCAUGCUGAAAUCUGCUCCAUUUGCAAUCACUUCAGCAUUCUAACAAUUUAAACUUAAUCCUAAUCAUAAUCUCUUUAUAUUUAUGUUCAUUUGCUGCUCAACUCAUCUGAUCUCAGCUCCAACAGUAAUGCUUUCCAAUGCUGAAAUCCUGCGCUAGCUGAAAUUUCAGCACUUUGCUUCUAUUAGUGCAGCCACUAUAAGCAUAGAACAACUAGUUCUAACAUUAGUGCUUUCCUUGGAGUAUUACUGCUGAUCUAGAAGUUAAUAUUAAUCUUAUUUAAGAUUAAAACUCAACUAAGCUUUAUUUCAGCUCUCAUAAUUAAGGUCAUGCUGAGCUUCAUCUCAUUUUAACAACAAGUGCUGAAAUUCAGUUCAUGCUGAAUUUUCUGCAUUCGUACUCUACAAUUUACCUAGAAGUUACCCUUAUAACACUUCACAUCACCCACUCUAAAUACAGGUAUUAUGCUUACACAAAUUAGAAACUUCUCUAAGUCGUUCUCAGCUCUUUAGAGCUUCUUUCAGCUGAUUUCCUUUAUCAGCAUCUCCAACAGGCCCAAUUAGAUCCCAUUUUCAUGCAAUUAACUUGUCUAUAAUUAACCAUUACCACAAUUUUACCUUAAUUAGGUACACUGCCAGGGAGAUCUUAGCUUCAACUCUCAACUUGAUGCUGAAUUACUUGUUCACUGCAUCAAAUAAUCCAGCCCUUCAUGUCGACAACACCAUUAACACCAAUUCCUUCCAUUCGACAGCCUCAAUAAGCCAAGCCCCAAAUUCUGUCACUCCCUGCUUUAUCAUCAGCAACAGAGUUGCUUACAACUCUCUCUAAAGUAGGUAGCUUAAUUCUAAUCAAAUAUAAACCCCACUUACUUUAACGUAAGCUUCCACCAGAUUGUUCUCAGCUCAAAAGACCCAAGUUUCCUGCUUGAUAGCUCCAACAGCAGAGAUAUCUUCCUUCAGUUGCUCUUCUUGCUCGAACAACCUCACAGCAUCAAUACCCAAUUCCUAAAUCCAAAGCUUUCUCAAGAUUUCGCAGCUCCCCAUUUCUUCUCCUCAGCUGGAAUUAAACCAAUAUCCUGCUCUCAGCGCAAAACACAAGAAUUCAAUUCCAUCAGCCAAGAAACACCUAUGUAAGCCACUUCUAGGACAACUAAUUUAAUUAGAAGCGGCUACUAAUCAAUCUUAAUUGGGAUUUAAGUCACAUACCCCUAAGUCGAAGCUUCUUUUUCCAGAUUUCCUCAGCUCGGAUCAGCAAGAGCUUCAAUUCCACCAGAUCUUCUGUUUCUGGCAGCCCAUAAUCAUUCCUUUAAACCUCUUCUAAACUAACCAACUCAAUUUUAAUCCAAUAUGGCAUCCACUUACCUUAUUCUAGAAUCCUGUCACGUUGAUUUCAGCACCAACAGCGCAAGCUUGCUUCUCGG